rnacentral:rRNA from 1 species
GAUGAACGCUGGCGGCGUGCCUAAUACAUGCAAGUCGAGCGAACAGAUAAGGAGCUUGCUCCUUUGACGUUAGCGGCGGACGGGUGAGUAACACGUGGGUAACCUACCUAUAAGACUGGAAUAACUCCGGGAAACCGGGGCUAAUGCCGGAUAACAUUUAGAACCGCAUGGUUCUAAAGUGAAAGAUGGUUUUGCUAUCACUUAUAGAUGGACCCGCGCCGUAUUAGCUAGUUGGUAAGGUAAUGGCUUACCAAGGCAACGAUACGUAGCCGACCUGAGAGGGUGAUCGGCCACACUGGAACUGAGACACGGUCCAGACUCCUACGGGAGGCAGCAGUAGGGAAUCUUCCGCAAUGGGCGAAAGCCUGACGGAGCAACGCCGCGUGAGUGAUGAAGGGUUUCGGCUCGUAAAACUCUGUUAUUAGGGAAGAACAAACGUGUAAGUAACUGUGCACGUCUUGACGGUACCUAAUCAGAAAGCCACGGCUAACUACGUGCCAGCCGCCGCGGUAA